rnacentral:rRNA from 1 species
UACGUAGGGGGCAAGCGUUGUCCGGAUUUAUUGGGCGUAAAGAGCGUGUAGGCGGCCUGACAGGUCUGCUGUGAAAACUCGAGGCUCAACCUCGAGAUGUCGGCGGAAACCGUCUGGCUAGAGUCCGGAAGAGGAGAGUGGAAUUCCUGGUGUAGCGGUGAAAUGCGCAGAUAUCAGGAGGAACACCCGUAGCGAAGGCGGCACUCUGGGCCGGAACUGACGCUGAGGCGCGAAAGCGUGGGGAGCAAACAGG